GACGAACGCUGGCGGCGUGCCUAAUACAUGCAAGUCGAACGCUUCUUUCCUCCCGAGUGCUUGCACUCAAUUGGAAAGAGGAGUGGCGGACGGGUGAGUAACACGUGGGUAACCUACUCAUCAGAGGGGGAUAACACUUGGAAACAGGUGCUAAUACCGCAUAACAGUUUAUGCCGCAUGGCAUAAGAGUGAAAGGCGCUUUCGGGUGUCGCUGAUGGAUGGACCCGCGGUGCAUUAGCUAGUUGGUGAGGUAACGGCCCACCAAGGCGACGAUGCGUAGAGCGUAGGAGAGGAGGAGCAGGCACAAUGGAACUGAGACACGGUACAGACUCCUAAGGGAAGCAGAAGUGGGGAAUAUUGGACAAUGGGCGCAAGCCUGAUCCAGCCAUACCGAGUGGGUGAAGAAGGCCUUCGGGUUGUAAAGCACUUGUGUUGGGAAAGAAAAGCAGCAGGUUAAUCACCCGCUGUUAUGACGGUACCCAAAGAAUAAGCACCGGCUAACCUCGUG
rnacentral:rRNA from 1 species